GAUGAACGCUGGCGGCGUGCCUAAUACAUGCGAGUCGAGCGAACAGACGAGGAGCUUGCUCCUCUGACGUUAGCGGCGGACGGGUGAGUAACACGUGGAUAACCUACCUAUAAGACUGGGAUCACUUCGGGAAACCGGAGCUAAUACCGGAUAAUAUAUUGAACCGCAUGGUUCAAUAGUGAAAGACGGUUUUGCUGUCACUUAUAGAUGGAUCCGCGCCGCAUUAGCUAGUUGGUAAGGUAACGGCUUACCAAGGCGACGAUGCGUAGCCGACCUGAGAGGGUGAUCGGCCACACUGGAACUGAGACACGGUCCAGACUCCUACGGGAGGCAGCAGUAGGGAAUCGUCCGCAAUGGGCGAAAGCCUGACGGAGCAACGCCGCGUGAGUGAUGAAGGUCUUCGGAUCGUAAAACUCUGUUAUUAGGGAAGAACAAAUGUGUAAGUAACUAUGCACGUCUUGACGGUACCUAGUCAGAAAGCCACGGCUAACUACGUG
rnacentral:rRNA from 1 species